rnacentral:rRNA from 1 species
GAUGAACGCUGGCGGCGUGCCUAAUACAUGCAAGUCGAGCGAAUGGAUUAAGAGCUUGCUCUUAUGAAGUUAGCGGCGGACGGGUGAGUAACACGUGGGUAACCUGCCCAUAAGACUGGGAUAACUCCGGGAAACCGGGGCUAAUACCGGAUAAUAUUUUGAACUGCAUGGUUCAAAAUUGAAAGGCGGCUUCGGCUGUCACUUAUGGAUGGACCCGCGUCGCAUUAGCUAGUUGGUGAGGUAACGGCUCACAAAGGCAACGGUGCGUAGCCGACCUGGGAGGGUGAACGGGCACACUGGGACUGAGAAACGGCCCAGACUCCUACGGGGGGCAGCAGUAGGGAAUCUUCCGCAAUGGACGAAAGUCUGACGGAGCAACGCCGCGUGAGUGAUGAAGGCUUUCGGGUCGUAAAACUCUGUUGUUAGGGAAGAACAAGUGCUAGUUGAAUAAGCUGGCACCUUGACGGUACCUAACCAGAAAGCCACGGCUAACUACGUGCCAGCAGCCGCAGUAA